rnacentral:rRNA from 1 species
UACGGGGGGGGCAAGCGUUGUUCGGUAUUACUGGGCGUAAAGGGCUCGUAGGCGGCCAACUAAGUCGGACGUGAAAUCCCCAGGCUCAACCUGGGAACUGCGUCCGAUACUGGAUGGCUUGAAUCCGGGAGAGGGAUGCAGAAUUCCAGGUGUAGCGGUGAAAUGCGUAGAUAUCUGGAGGAACACCGGUGGCGAAGGCGGCAUCCUGGACCGAUAUUGACGCUGAUGCGCGAAAGCCAGGGGAGCAAACGGG